CGGUAGUUUAGGGGUAAAACAGUCUGUAUACGGAGAUGGGUCACUACUGCUCAUGACAGAGGUCACCGGAGUAUACAGAAAGUCGCAGGUUCGAAUCCUGCCCG
rnacentral:tRNA from 1 species